rnacentral:rRNA from 1 species
UACGAAGGGGGCUAGCGUUGCUCGGAAUCACUGGGCGUAAAGCGCACGUAGGCGGAUUGUUAAGUCAGGGGUGAAAUCCUGGAGCUCAACUCCAGAACUGCCUUUGAUACUGGCGAUCUCGAGUCCGGGAGAGGUGAGUGGAACUGCGAGUGUAGAGGUGAAAUUCGUAGAUAUUCGCAAGAACACCAGUGGCGAAGGCGGCUCACUGGCCCGGUACUGACGCUGAGGUGCGAAAGCGUGGGAGCAACAGGAUAG